GUAGGUGGCAAGCGUUGUCCGGAUUUAUUGGGCGUAAAGGGCGCGCAGGCGGUUCGUUAAGUCCGAGGUGAAAUCUCCUGGCUCAACUGGGAGGGGUCUUCGGAUACUGGCGGACUUGAGGAGUGCAGAGGUGAGUGGAAUUCUCGGUGUAGUGGUGAAAUGCGUAGAUAUCGAGAGGAACACCAGUGGCGAAGGCGGCUCACUGGGCACCACCUGACGCUGAGGCGCGAAAGCGUGGGGAGCGAACCGGAUUAGAUACCCGGGUAGUCCACGCCGUAAACGAUGGACACUAGGUGUGGGGGGUAUUGACCCCCUCCGUGCCGAAGCAAACGCGAUAAGUGUCCCGCCUGGGGAGUACGGCCGCAAGGCUA
rnacentral:rRNA from 1 species